rnacentral:rRNA from 1 species
AAAAUAUUAACUGUCUCAUUUUGUUUUUUAGAAUUUAAUUUUUUAGUUAAAAAGCUUAAAUUUUUUUAUAGGACGAGAAGACCCUAUAGAUCUUUAUUUUUAAUUUAUUUAUUUAUUUUUGGUUUAUUUUAUUUAUAAUUAUUUUUAAUAUUUUGUUGGGGCGAUACGAAGAUAUUAGAAACUCUUUAUUUUUUUUUUCAUUGAUUUAUGAUUAUUUGACCUUUUAUUAUUGUUAUUAGAUUUAGAUACCUUAGGGAUAACAGCAUAAUUUUCCUUGAGAGUUCAUAUCGACAGGGGGGGUUGUGACCUCGAUGUUGGAUUAAGAUUAUUAUUGGGUGUAGUGGCUUGAUUAUUAGGUCUGUUCGACCUUUAAAUUCUUACAUGAUCUGAGUUCAAACCGGAG